rnacentral:rRNA from 1 species
UACGGAGGGAGCUAGCGUUGUUCGGAAUUACUGGGCGUAAAGCGCACGUAGGCGGCUUUGUAAGUUAGAGGUGAAAGCCCGGGGCUCAACUCCGGAAUUGCCUUUAAGACUGCAUCGCUUGAAUCCGGGAGAGGUGAGUGGAAUUCCGAGUGUAGAGGUGAAAUUCGUAGAUAUUCGGAAGAACACCAGUGGCGAAGGCAGCACUCUGGGACGUGACUGACGCUGAGACGCGAAAGCGUGGGGAGCAAAGCAGG